UGGGGAAUCUUGCACAAUGGGGGCAACCCUGAUGCAGCGACGCCGCGUGAGCGAUGAAGCCCUUCGGGGCGUAAAGCUCUUUCGACCGGAACGAUAAUGACGGUACCGGGAGAAGAAGCUGCGGCUAACUACGUGCCAGCAGCCGCGGUAAUACGUAGGCAGCAAGCGUUGUUCGGAGUUACUGGGCGUAAAGAGUGCGUAGGCGGUUUUCUAAGUUCGGUGUGAAAUCUCCCGGCUUAACUGGGAGGGUGCGCCGAAGACCGGGAAGCUGGAGUGUGGGAAAGGCAGGCGGAAUUCCUGGUGGAGCGGUGAAAUGCGUAGAUAUCAGGAGGAACACCGGCGGUGUAGACGGCUUGCUAAACCAUAACUGACGCUGAGGCACGAAAGCGUGGGUAGCAAACA
rnacentral:rRNA from 1 species